rnacentral:lncRNA from 1 species
GUGCAGACCACAAGAUGGCAGCCAUGUUCCGGACCUUUCACUUCUGCAGAAGAGUUGAGCAGCAUCCCUGCACCAGUGGAGCAUCUUUGUCGACCAGUGUUAUGCAGAAGACAGUUUGGAGAAAGAUACUCUAAGACUGGGUGGGACAUUGACAAGGCUGUCUGCUGGUACACAUCUGUGUGGGUUCUUUGGAUCAAAUACUUUCUACUUGGACUACAUGUUGGAAUUACCUGGGGGAUUUUUAAAACUCAGGGAAGUCUGGGCGUCAUGCAAAGCCAACUUAAUCAAAAUCUCUAGAGGUAAGGCCAAGUAUUAGAAUUUAAAAAAUUCUCAGAUGAUUCUUGUGCUGAUGAGGUUGAAAAUCAUUGCUUAGAAAGCAAAAUGCUAGCUAUAUUCUAAGUUAUUGGCUACCAGUAAUAGUUAACAUUUAUUGUUGACUUUGUGCUAAGCAUUUUCCUCCUAUGUUCUUUAACUAAAUCCUCAUGGCUUUUUUUUUAUAAUGCAGAUCCCCUUAUUAUCCCCAUUUAUAGAUGAUAAAACUAAGGCAUUAGGGAAAAAGAGCAGUUUGGCCAAGAACAUGCAAGCUGUAAGUUAGGGGCUUCGUGUCUAGGCACUGUGAUUCCAGAACUUGGGCAUCUAACCAGUACUUCCCUAAACUCUUCUUUUGACAGACUCUAUAUGAUUAAAACUAAUACAUUAUCUUCACUCACUAUACAAAACUGCUAGCAGGAAAUACAACCAACUCUAGUGCUAAGUUCUACCCACAAAAUCAAACACUUUAGUAUUUUGACCACAGUAAUAAAUUUUUGUGUUUUUUAAUCUACUCCAUCAGAUAACUUAUGUUAAUAAUUGCACAUGUAGAACAUAACAAAAGUUGUUCCCCAUUCUCCCUCCCACAUUUGACAGUGAAAUAUGGAAUUGAUUUUGGCCAAAUCUUCAUGCAAGUAAAAAUACAUUAAGG